rnacentral:misc_RNA from 1 species
GAUGAAGAACGCAGCGAAAUGCGAUACGUAAUGUGAAUUGCAGAAUUCAGUGAAUCAUCGAGUCUUUGAACGCACAUUGCGCCCCCUGGUAUUCCGGGGGGCAUGCCUGUCCGAGCGUCAUUGCUGCCCUCAAGCACGGCUUGUGUGUUGGGCCUCCGUCCUCCUCCCGGGGGACGGGCCCGAAAGGCAGCGGCGGCACCGCGUCCGGUCCUCGAGCGUAUGGGGCUUCGUCACCCGCUCUUGUAGGCCCGGCCGGCGCUUGCCGACACAUCAAUCUUUUUUCCAGGUGGACCUCGGAUCAGGUAGGGAUACCCGCUGAACUUAAGCAUAUCAAUAAGCGGAGGA